rnacentral:rRNA from 1 species
UGGGAACGUGCCCUUUGGUUCGGGACAACUCCGGGGAAAACUGGAGCUAAUACCGGAUACGCCCUUCGGGGAAAGAUUUAUUGCCAAAGGAUCGGCCCGCGUCUGAUUAGCUAGUUGGUAGGGUAAUGGCCUACCAAGGCGACGAUCAGUAGCUGGUCUGAGAGGAUGAUCAGCCACACUGGGACUGAGACACGGCCCAGACUCCUACGGGAGGCAG